ACAGAAAUUUAUCGGGUCUUCUUUUGUAGAUCUGGAAUAUGGGGCCUUUCUGCAAGAAGAAUUAUCUAUGAGUGUGGGUUUUGUCUGUUUUUUUAUAGAGAGAGAAUGAUGAGAAACAGUAUUUUGUUCCAGAUUCUUAAAUACAGACUGGAAUAGGUGAGACUUACCAUUGCAGACCUGAGGGAAGGAAAGAAUGCUAUAUGACUGUUCAAUAUCAGUGAGGAAGCAGUCGUUGAUGCUACAAAUAAAGGGAUUAUAGCUCGGCUUAUUAACCAUUAGUAAGCAGUUCCAUGUAAUGUUUCUAAGACCCUCUUAGGAGAUUUUGUUACACUGCAGUAACUGAUUGAGACGUUUUUAUUUCUACUCCCUCUCAAGGUAACACUCAGAAGGAUGUUACUUUGUUCCGGGUAAUGUUUCUUUUCAUUAGAAUAUAUGCUGGUUCCAUCACUCCUCCUUUAAGUGUAAGACUAGGAUUUGACCCGCGCUUUAAAAGCGCGGGUUUAUUAUUAUUUUUUUUUAUAAAUUUUGAAUAAGUUUGUGAAAUGAAAUAUUUUCAUUUA